rnacentral:misc_RNA from 1 species
AACGCACAUUGCGCCCCUUGGUAUUCCAUGGGGCAUGCCUGUUCGAGCGUCAUUUGUACCUUCAAGCUCUGCUUGGUGUUGGGCGUCUUGUCUAGCUACUAGACUCGCCUUAAAUGAAUUGGCAGCCAGUGUAUUGGUCUUGAGCGCAGCACAAUUUGCACUCUAACCAGCUAUAUCUGGCAUCCACAAGCCUUUUAACACGCUUGACCUCGGAUCAGGUAGGGAUACCCGCUGAACUUAA